CAACAAUGGUUCUAAGAGCUCUUUACCAGGCGCCGAUGAGUGGUAUUACCGCCCCUGCUGCUGACAAACAAUAUAGUGAGCAUGAAUAUCCUGGUGGGGCACUCUCAGGACCAACUUCUAUUGACACUUCGCAUGCCAGCCUAGAACCCCAAAAAGCAGGUAUACAGACUGUUGAUGCUGGUGGGAAGAAAAUUUAUGGAUUAAAAGGUGUGUCUAGUGCCAUCAAACAGGAAGGUUUACUGUCAUCAAAUGGUGUCAAAAGAAACCAUCAGGGAACUCCAAAUAGCAGAAGCUCAAAUGGUACUACUAACUCUCCAAGUGAUGAAAAUGGCCAUCAACUGGUGGGCCUACCAAGUAGCUCAAUCGUAGAGAAGCAGAG
rnacentral:misc_RNA from 1 species